UCACGUACGAGAUGCUUUUAUUCGUUUCAUAAACUUUUUCUUUGCCACUUGUCUUGCAAUUAUCGCACAUAAAUACUUACGGCAUCUUGUAAAUAAUCAGCGGGCCACGCAUACAUAAAAGAAAUACCAGAAGAUCCACAUACCAUUAUCAAUAAAAUUCCACAUAGAGUUAUAGUAAACGUUGUCAUUCCCAACACAUAAAGUAUUAUGAAGCGAAAACAACCAACCACUUCCUCGGCGUACCUAGAUAGAGGGAAACCGUUUACAACGAACACAAAUGUCUCAGUUAAAUCACACAUGUUUUCUGAAUUUCCACGACUAAACAUUCGAAUCUUACGGCAGCGAACCACAUUAAAAGCGCACCAAACACGCCUAUGCAUAAAUGUGCAGUAACGGCGAGGCACACGCUGCUGUGAUGCAAGUAGACGAUAAAAUUUACUGGCAUAUAAUUCACUUGAAACGGAUACUCCACUUCCACUAGGGUUGGAAUCGGUAGGACUAGAGGUCCAAAUAUAAAAAAGGAUACAUCUUUUCCAACUCGUCUUAUGUCAUGGUUCGCAAAGGGGUACAGAAGGGAAAAGCUUUGGACACGAAGUGAAAUUAUAUCAACUCGUUAUUUAUUUAUUAUUCUUAAUUAACCUGUUAAUCAGAGAAGAUUAGAUGAAUAUGAUAUCCAUAUUAGGUUUGGGUUAGCGAUAUUUUUAUUUUUAUGUAUUUGUACAGUCAUUAAAGCUGUAAAUUUAAUUGAAUUCUAUGUUUUUUGUUAUAGAUUUCGCACUACACAUCACUAUGGGGUUCGAUGCCAUGAUAACUUCCUCCGAGCAAAGGAUAGUGUUAAUAACAAUAUUUCUCGCAUCUAAUGGUGAAUUGCAUACAUUUUUAUUCCUCUGAUCACUCAAUCACAUUUUUUUUAGCGAAUUUUUGUACUUCAUUUAUUAGACCAGGAUAACGUCUCCUUGCAUAUCGCGUCUACGAUGUGA
rnacentral:misc_RNA from 1 species